rnacentral:rRNA from 1 species
CCUACGGGUGGCAGCAGUGGGGAAUAUUGCACAAUGGGGGAAACCCUGAUGCAGCAACGCCGCGUGAGUGAAGAAGUAUUUCGGUAUGUUAAGCUCUAUCAGCAGGGAAGAAGAUGACGGUACCUGAGUAAGAAGCCCCGGCUAACUACGUUCCAGCAGCCGCGGUAAUACGUAGGGGGCAAGCGUUAUCCGGAUUUACUGGGUGUAAAGGGAGUGUAGACGGUGGUACAAGUCUGAAGUGAAAGCCCGGGGCUCAACCCCGGGCCUGCGUUGGAAACUGCCUGACUGGAGUGCUGGAGAGGCAAGCGGAAUUCCUAGUGUAGCGGUGAAAUGCGUAGAUAUUAGGAAGAACACCAGUGGCGAAGGCGGCUUGCUGGACAGUAACUGACAUUGAUGCUCGAAAGUGUGGGUAUCAAACAGGAUUAGAUACCCGAGUAGUC